rnacentral:lncRNA from 1 species
GUUGGUUUCUUUUUGGUUUUUUGUUUUGCCAGUAAAUUGAUUUUUUUUGAAUUAUCCAUUGGGUUUGUAUUUAUUUCAACCUACACAGUGUAUAAUGCAUGAUUUGUUUCUAUAUUUCCCCCCAUAUAGUUGCAAGUUGUACUUUUAUUUUGAUUAAUGUUAGAGUAAUGGUUUUUAUCUUAACCGACGUCUCUCUUCAAAAUCUGAAACUUUUAUGUGACUUUGUCUUUUAAAUUUCUUUUACAUACAUAAUCAGAUUUUCCGCUUAUCAAAAAUGGAUUGUCAAACUAUUUUGUAAUUAAGUUUCCAAUGCCGCCAUAACAAAACACGCUACAAUUAUUUGAUUUUUUAACCUGAUAAAACUUCGAGAAUGUUUUGUGUUUAUUUCUCUAUUUUUGUCUUUUCAUGUUUUGAAACUUACAAAUUUCAGGUGAUUGUUCGCAGUGAUUUUAUCUCCAUUUUUAUUGCUCCUGGAGGUCAAAUAUUUCAAAGUGACUUCAAACCGAUAAAGGAACAAAUUAGGACCAAAUUUUUAUUUUUUUCAACCAAGAAUCAUAUAGCAUUGUUAAGGAUGUUAUAUGAAAAAUUAUAUUUUUGACCUGAAGAUCGUCGAAACAAUAAGCCACAUUCUGCUAGUGGAACAGAAACAUAAAAUUCCUGAUAUCUGAGAUUAUAAAUGCCCUAUUGAUAUUUUCAGUAGGAAGGUUUUAAUUGUUAAAAAUGUGACUUGCAUAAUUCUGAUACUUAAAUUAUUCCCCUUUCAAGAAAAACAAUCACUAAGUUAUGCUGAGCUUUUAGAGCUAUCAUUAAAAAAGACGUUUUAUAUUGAACUCUCCAGGCAUAACUAUACAUCUGUUUUCAGAUGGAUUUUGUGGCCAAAUAAGAAGACUUAUAAAAUGUUUUUUAUCAAUGUAUCAGAAUGCACUUUCUACUGUUAAUAUUUCUAAUUGGAUGAACUAUAUAGGAGUGAGCUGUAAACUUCUAAAACUUAAUUUAUCAUUUCUAUAUUAUUUUGAUAUAGUCAGAACUUUUAUGUUGUUGUAACAAUGCCAGGCUUCAGGUUUGUUUGGUUGGUGUUUUUUUUUUUUUUUUUUUUUUUUUUUUUUUUUGUUAGUUUGGUUCCAGUGAUUAAUGUGUUGCGUUCAGAUCCAUCUUUUGUAAACUUAGUUGAUUAUAUUUCAUUUCUUUCAAUUCAAUUCAAUAUUUUAUUUAAGUCUCAUCUCUCAAUAAUAUAUAAUACAACAUUACAUUAAAUGUAAAAAUAUAUAAAUAUAAAAAGAGAGCCAUUCUGUACAGAAUUACAA